UACGUAGGGUGCGAGCGUUAAUCGGCAUUACUGGGCGUAAAGUGUGCGCAGGCGGCAGAGCAAGUCGAGUGUGAAAGCCCCGGGCUUAACUUGGGAAUUGCGCUCGAAACUACUUUGCUGGAGUGUGGCAGAGGAAGGUGGAAUUCCACGUGUAGCGGUGAAAUGCGUAGAGAUGUGGAGGAACACCAAUGGCGAAGGCAGCCUUCUGGGCCAACACUGACGCUCAUGCACGAAAGCGUGGGGAGCAAACAGG
rnacentral:rRNA from 1 species